rnacentral:rRNA from 1 species
GCUUGUCUCAAAGAUUAAGCCAUGCAUGUCUUAGUGUAAAUAACUCUUAUGAAACUGCGAAUGGCUCAUUAAAUCAGUUAUCGUUUAUUUGAUGGUCCCUUACUACAUGGAUAACCGUAGUAAUUCUAGAGCUAAUACAUGCACAAAGGCCCGACUCACGAAGGGCUGUAUUUAUUAGAUUAAAAACCAAUGCCCUCUGGGCUCUCUGGUGAUUCAUGAUAACUUCUCGAAUCGCAUGGCCUUGCGCCGGCGAUGGUUCAUUCAAAUUUCUUCCCUAUCAACUUUCGAUGUUUGGGUAGUGGCCAAACAUGGUUGCAACGGGUAACGGAGGGUUAGGGCUCGACCCCGGAGAAGGAGCCUGAGAAACGGCUACUACAUCCAAGGAAGGCAGCAGG